rnacentral:rRNA from 1 species
GACGAACGCUGGCGGCGUGCCUAAUACAUGCAAGUCGAACGCAGUGGGGCCGGGUGAGUAACACGUGGGUAACCUCCCCAUCAGAGGGGAUAACACUUGGAAACAGGUGCUAAACCGAUACUGAUGGAUGGACCCGCGGUGCAUUAGCUAGUUGGUGAGGUAACGGCUCACAAAGGCCACGAUGCAUACCCGGCCUGAGAGGAUGAUCGGCCACACUGGAACGUAGACAGGGCCUAGACGCCUACGGGAGGCAGCAGUGGGGAAUCUUCGGCAAUGGACGAAAGUCUGACCGAGCAACGCCGCGUGUGUGAAGAAGGUUUUCGGAUCGUAAAACUCUGUUGUUAGAGAAGCGGUAUCUAACCAGAAAGCCACGGCUAACUACGUGCCAGCAGACGCGGUAAGAG